GUUCAAAGUUGUCUAACUGAAAUGGCAAAUAUUUUGGAUGAAUAUUGUCAGUAAUAGUUGUGCAAUUCUCUGUGCCUUUCAAAUCUCUUUGUUUGAAGAUGAGCUCAAACAAAUUGCUACGUU